rnacentral:rRNA from 1 species
CACACCGCCCGUCACACCAUGGGAGUUGGUCUUACCUUAAGACGGUGUGCUAACCAGCAAUGGAGGCAGCCGGCCACGGUAAGGUCAGCGACUGGGGUG